CUAGUCGAAGCUCAAGAUGAGAUGCGGCCGAGAUACAACGAUUGGCUACCGUAUAUGGAGAACAAUGUGUAUAGCAUCUUAAUUUUCUCUUCGGUAAUGUUCCUGCUGUCGGUGGUUUUGCACCUUCUUCUGCAAGUUGCGAUCGCUUGAAGUUUCAUCUCCCAGAUAAUUGCUGGUCAUCACCUGUUCUAUGACAUUGCCUUCCAUCUCCCGCUUGCAUCAUCGAAGACGACACUGAAGUUUUGGAUUUGUGUGAGGAAACCCUCAUAUUAUAUUUUUUUUAUGUUUCGCAAAAUUUAUGGAGGAACCUUUAGAGAUCAUCGUCGUUCACUGCUAUUAGAUUGAAAAGAAAGGAACUCAGUGAACCUAACCAUCCUGUCUGAUUCCCAGAUCUAUCCUCUAUCGUAACGUAGAGGGGUGAAAUAUUCUUAAUAGAGUCGUUCUUACCCGCAUUCAAGAUUCGAGAGCAUUAAGGCGAUUCUUCGAGAUGUAUGAAGAAUAUAAGACUGGAUAUUCAGCUGAGUCAAUAUAAAUAAAGUUGUUAAUAAAUCUUAAUUUGAUGAAAAUUAGAAGUAAAGUAGCCACAACAAAGCACUCUGUAUGCUUCGACGUUGAUCAAUAAAAUCUUACUUUUUAUAGAUUGACAGAUUACAUUCAUAGAUUGGUUGAGUUGGGUGAUAAUGCUUUUUACAAAGAAAAUAUAUGUUUUUAAAGCAGAUAACAUUAGAGAUGAAUAUGGAAUUAUGUUCCACACUUUGUAACAAUGCUCAUGUGUAAGAUGUUAAAUCGAA